GUGGGGAAUCUUGCACAAUGGGCGAAAGCCUGAUGCAGCCAUGCCGCGUGAAUGAUGAAGGCCUUAGGGUUGUAAAAUUCUUUCGUCAGGGAUGAUAAUGACCGUACCUGAAGAAGAAGCCCCGGCUAACUUCGUGCCAGCAGCCGCGGUAAUACGAAGGGGGCUAGCGUUGCUCGGAAUUACUGGGCGUAAAGGGCGCGUAGGCGGACAGUUUAGUCAGAGGUGAAAGCCCAGGGCUCAACCUUGGAAUUGCCUUUGAUACUGGCUGUCUUGAGUACGGGAGAGGUGAGUGGAACUCCGAGUGUAGAGGUGAAAUUCGUAGAUAUUCGGAAGAACACCAGUGGCGAAGGCGACUCACUGGCCCGUUACUGACGCUGAGGCGCGAAAGCGUGGGGAGCAAACAGGAUUAGAAACCCUUGUAGUCC
rnacentral:rRNA from 1 species